UUUCCGUAGGUGAACCUGCGGAAGGAUCAUUACAGUAGUCGCCCGGGUUGCCGCAAGGCCUCCCGGGUAACCUACCACCCUUUGUUUAUUACACUUUGGUGCUUUGGCAGGCCUGCCCUCGGGCUGCUGGCUCCGGCCGGCGAGCGCUUGCCAGAGGACCUAAACUCUGUUUGUCUAUACUGUCUGAGUACUAUAUAAUAGUUAAAACUUUCAACAACGGAUCUCUUGGUUCUG
rnacentral:misc_RNA from 1 species